AGAGCUAGACAACAGUUGCUGUGGGCUGCAUCCUGGGGAAAGGUCAGUCGUUGACUUAUAGACACUUUGAUACAGGAUUCCGCAGCAACGGGGAAAUCAAAGAUUCAAGAUCGGGAUUUUUUCACAGUUAAUGCUGUUACCGACUCGUAGUUUUAGUUUCUACUUGUCUUUGACGCACUUAUAAAUUAUCUUUAAAAGUUUAUAUCGAUAGUAAAGUACAAGUUUCAGCGUUCCAUCUUAUCAGUGUAAGUUUUAAUAGAAGUUUUAUUUUCACCGACUCUGUUAAGUACCAGUGUCUGAUAGAAUGUGUUUAACAUGUGAUACGUAAUUUACUCUGAUUAAUGUUAGAUGUAAAUAUGCGAUAUGAUAUUGCGAUAGCGACACCGUCGACGAUAUACCACCACCAACGUCUGCGGUUGCCGUUUGUUCACGAAGCAUAAGACAUGUAGUCAGUUGUAAUAUACUCGCUACAAUGGGUUAGACUUCGAGAGUCAGCAAGCUUCAAUCAGCACAACAUCGUCCGUCCGAGUCAGCUCCCACUACUGGAAAUGAGUCAGCCUUGUGCAUCCCUCUAUGAUCCCAUCCUUGUCAAACCCACCCAGCAACACCAGCAGGGUUGGGGGAUAACUUGGGUCUUGAGGUCAUCCUUGCAUAUCCUCUACGCGUCCUACAUUAGGUCAAGUAUUACUUACUAGACCUAGAACAGCACGUGGAUGAAACAUUAACAGAGGUGAGACUCGAACAGUGUCGUCAGCGAAGUAUUGUUCGAGAAAUGUUCGAACGCCAUCAAUUGUGAGUCGUGUAUAACAUAAAUUUAAGUAAAUUAUUACCUGAAUCAUACGUGUAGAGUGCUCGGAAUUCUACUCCCCAAGCCCAGCUUGGGACCAGGCUUGAGUUAAGAUAACUUAGUCCAACAGUCUGUUGCUUGGAGCGGUCCGCAGGCCCACAUAUCCACUUCAACCCGAGAAAACAACACACAAGCCCCACCCCUCACGAGCAAUUUCGACCGGGUUCGAGCCCUGAGCAGGGAAGGAUCGAGGGAUUGACAAGCACCGAUCCUUAACUGCUCGUCCCUGUUCUCCCAGCAGUAAUCGAGGACCUGGUUUCAAACCGAUUGGGGGAUCGUGUUCUAGAGAAACCAGUAAAGCUUAAUAUGAGCUAUGGGGAUGGAAAACUGCUAACUAACAGGAGUCAGAAGUAAUAAAUCUUUUUAUGAA